rfam:Myotis brandtii contig142032, whole genome shotgun sequence.
GGCCUCCCUCUGUGGGGCGAUUGAUCUGGGGACCCUGCGAUCAAUCGCCACACAGAGGGAGGCC